rnacentral:piRNA from 1 species
UACAUGGUGUUUUGGUAAGAAAAGGCCG